AUCCAACUGGCAGAUCACUUCCAGCCUGGGAGGUGGAGGAGAAGAGGUGGAUUUUGGGAAAACUGAGAAGAAGCCCAUUUCAUUUGAGAGAAGUGCUGAUGCAAUUAAAAAAAUAAGGAAUAAGACUCAGAGAGGAAGUUAAAGCUUUAAGAAAAGCAAGAGAAAAAUCACAAAAGAAAGGCAUACUAAGGCAAUAACAAACAAGAAGCACCGGAAUCAAGAUAAGAAGUUAAGAAAAUCCAACACAUAUGAUUACAUGAAUGAUAUACAUGACAAUUAAGAGAUGACCUAAUAUCUACAAAAAGUGAAGAGGAAUAAAAAUAACUGAAUAUUACUUUAAAAAGCCUGAAAAAGAGCACUUCCAGGUUAACAUGGCUGCAAUCUAGAUGCAAAUCACUUCCACUCUCCAGCACCGAAUGAAAUAGACUACCUCAAAAGAGCAUAAAAACCACCUUUGGAAGAACAGAGGGACUCUCCAGUACCCCACAGAAAUGAAAGUAUGUGGGGCUUGAACAUUUCCACACUAUAAGGAGGAGGAAAAGCUUGCACAAAAACGUGAACUGAGCCACCCCUCCCUCCCCCCCCCAAACCAGAGUAAGGUAUCAGAGUGCUCACUGGGACAGCGAGUGAGUGAGGAGCGUCUCUGUCUGGGGGGGGGGGCACACCAGGGUCCUUGGGAUCUAAAGACUGCAAGGAAACUACCUCUCAGGGUGGUUUUACGGGAAAAUCCUGGGCUGAGCAAAGGGGCAGUGGCACUGAGAGGCUGCACUCAGCAAAGGGGAGGCCGCUCUGAGAGGCUGUGCUGAGCAAAGGGGCGGCUGAGAGGCUGGGCUGAGCAAAGGGGCUGCUGCGCUGAGCAUGGGGGCCUGUGCUCUAAGAAACCUUGGAGGCUGGGAAGAACUAGUCUGAGGCAACCUAAAUUCACAGAAAACCUGCCCAUGACACCAGACCAAAAAGGAAAGGGGAAUAAAACCACCAAAAGGAUGGCUCACAUGGCCCAAAAUCAAGCCUCCAGGAAGAAAGGGAAAAAGGUGACUAUUGAAAACUUUUAUGGCGGGAGUACCCAAGGAAAAGAAGAGAAAGAGGAUGAAACCCAAACAAAAUCAAAACAUGCCUCACAAAAUGGAAAUUAUCCACAAGCUCUGGAAGAACUCAAAUUGGAGCUUACCCAAAAGAUGGAAACCUUCUGGAAAGAAAAAUGGGAGAAAGAGAUCAGCAGUCUGAUAGACAAGACUUCACAAUUGGAGAAAGAGCUGGAAGCAUCUAAUAGAAGGGCAGACAAAGCUGAAAAGCAAAACCAGUCCCUAAUGACCAGAAUUAAGCAACUGGAAGACAGUGAGCAUGCAAAACAGCAAGAAUUGAUAAAGCAAAGCCAAAAAAUUAAUGAAUUAGAAGAAAACACAAAAUAUCUCACUGAAAAGGUCACACUGGAAAACAGAGGAAGAAGAGACAACGUGCAAAUUAUUGGUCUGCCAAAAAACCAGAGAUAAGCAAAAACCUCAAUGAUAUACUACAGGAGAUUAUAGAAGAAAAUUGCCACAUGUUCUGGAGCAAGGGGGCAAAAUAGAAAUAGAAAGGGUUCAUAGAACACCCUCUAUACUAAAUUCCCGAAAGACAACCCCCAGGAAUGUAAUCACCAAAUUCAAGAGCUUCCAAGAAAAGGAGAAAAUCCUACAAGAAGCCAAGAAGAGGAGCUUCAGAUAUAGGGGGACUCCCAUAAGGAUCGCACAUGACUUAGCGGCUAACACACUAAGAGACCGCAAAGCAUGGAACACGAUAUUUAGAAAGGCAAGAGAGCUGGGUCUCCAACCAAGAAUCAACUACCCAGAAAAACUGACUAUAUAUUUCCAGGGGAAAGUAUGAGCAUUCAACAAAAUAGAAGAUUUCCAAGCAUUUGCUAAGAAAAGACCAGAACUUAGUGGAAAAUUUGAUAUCCAAUCACAGAAAGCAAGAGAAACAUGAAAAGGAAUAAUAAAGUGGAAGAAUUCCAUGGAGUCUGGAACAACCUUCAGGAAGUGAUGCAGAGCGAAAGGAGCAGAACCAGGAAAACAUUGUACACAGAGACUGAUACACUGUGGUACAAUCGAAGGUGAUGGACUUCUCCAUUAGGGACAAUGCAAUGUCCCUGAACAAGCUACAGGGAUCUAAAAAACACUAUCCACAAGCAGAGGAUAAACAGAGUAAAAACAUCAAAGAAAAGCAACUGCUUGACUAAAGGGGUGGAGGGGAUAUGACUGAGGAGAGACUCUAAAUGAACACUCUAAUGCAAAUACCAACAACACAGAAAUGGGUUUGAGUCAAGAACACAUGUGAUACCCAGUGGAAUCAUUCGCCGGCUAUGGGAGAAGUGGUGGGAGGGGGGGAAGAAAAGAAAAUGAUUUUUGUUUCCAAUGAAUAAUGUUUGGAAAUGACCAAAUAAAAUAAUUUUUAAAAAAAG